GACAGAGGGUGCAACCGUUGUUCGGAAUUACUGGGCGUAAAGCGCGUGUAGGCGGCUAAGUAAGUCGGGCGUGAAAUCCCACGGCUCAACCGUGGAAGUGCACUCGAAACUGCGUAGCUAGAGUCCUGGAGAGGAAGGUGGAAUGCUUGGUGUAGAGGUGAAAUUCGUAGAUAUCAAGCGGAACACCGGUGGCGAAGGCGGCCUUCUGGACAGUGACUGACGCUGAGACGCGAAAGCGUGGGGAGCAAACAGG
rnacentral:rRNA from 1 species